UACAGAGGGUGCAAGCGUUGUUCGGAAUUACUGGGCGUAAAGCGCGUGUAGGUGGCGUCGUUAGUCGGAUGUGAAAGCCCUCGGCUCAACCGAGGAAGUGCAUCCGAUACUGCGAUGCUUGAGUGUUGGAGGGGGUGGCGGAAUUCCCGGUGUAGAGGUGAAAUUCGUAGAUAUCGGGAGGAACACCUGUGGCGAAGGCGGCCACCUGGACAACAACUGACGCUGAGACGCGAAAGCGUGGGUAGCAAACAGG
rnacentral:rRNA from 1 species